rnacentral:lncRNA from 1 species
CCCAGGAAACUCUAUCUACGGCCGUGUCCUGCUGGCACCGUGGGGGCACACCAAGAUAGGGCAGCCUUCUACUAGGUAGGGGAGUCAUUACGUGGGUGGGUGAGCGUGGUGAGCGUGGGAGAGGGCGCUGGGGUUUGGCGUGGGGAUGGGCCACGUUUUGCCAUGGAGCCAUAGAGCCGGUGCUUUUUCAGCAACGAAGGCAACAGACCUCACCCCGCACGCUGUAACAGGGGCACAUUCCGUGCGGCGGAAUAUUUUGCUGCCCUAUAGCACCCAAACGAUCGUUACGAUCGCUGUUACCUAGGUCGUAGAUCGUUACCCCUCCGGCAUCGUUACGAUCUCGCUACGAUCUGCUUACCAUCUUAACCAGCCAUGGUAACAGCCUGCUCACGGUCUACGAGGCGCACAUGUAACCAUCACUUUGACGCCCGUUACAUGGCAGCCUUGUGCUUUGCUGAAGGCCUACCUCAGUACUAACGUACGAACUAUGUAGUCCUACCGCUACUCCACAUGCUAGCCAUCUGUCAAGGCUUGAUAGCACGACAAGCGCAGAUGCUCAUGCAACACUUAUGCAACACUACCGCAAGUCCAUACGUACAUGCAACAAUACGCCAAGUCAUGUCUGCGUGUGAACGUGCAACUAGCCACUGGCAGCAACCACUUGCAUGUCUGCUGGGCACAACGUCUCUGACCCACCACCUUGACGCCCGCCGCCACCACAGAUAGCAUGCCAAACUAUGCCACUGGCACCUCCAUCUCUAGCGCCAGACAGCUGGUGUCACGCUGGCUCCUGUAGUUUUGCUUCCACCGGCAGCGCCUGCAUGCACGCGUGCACACACAUAGACACACCCAGUUAAUCGUCUGCCACAAGACGGGUAGGUGCCAAUGCAUGUCAAGGCCAGCCAUGGACAGAGUGCUUGGCAGUGCACGGGGCCUACCACACAAGGCGUGUCUGUGUGCACAUGUGCAUGUGUGUGCGCCCACACGUGUCACGGACACUCACCGUUGAUGAGCACAAUGCUGGAGGUGUAGGGGCAGUCCAGCCAACCGUACGGUCCAUAGGGUACAACAGGGGUUGGGCAGCAAGCUGUCGCGGGGCAGGGUGUGUGCGUGCGGAGGGGGGCGGGGUGGUAUGUGAGACACAAGGCACCGUGGCAAGGGAGCCAUAAAAACACCUUACAGCGAGCGCUGGUAAGGGAGGCAGCAGACAGUCAGUAGUUGUAGGCGGGGGCUCCACCAGACAACCCAACACAGCGCGAGAAGAUGACCAUGCACACUGGCUUGCGAGGUACCACUAGGUUCAACGCAUCCCAUCGACAUUCAACCUGCAGACUAACCUGCGGACUAUGGCGUGCGGGGCGAGGGUGAUGUUGACAGAACGCGAUGUUGAAUGGCGUUGUUGACGCCGGCGACCGAGACUUCUCGGUCGGACAUUUGAAGCGCAGCUGAUAGAUUAUGAGGCAUAGUAGUUUCUCUCACGUAAUAGCUGGCUGCAGCUGACGUGUGAGCAGCGUUGCCAAGCCGGUCAACGAGCAGUCAGCAGCGUGAGGACUCGCGUCCCAAGCCAGCCAAGCAGCGUCGGCCGCCAGCUCUUGUUCUACUGACAUUUGAGCUAGCAUAAAUUUGUGUUACAAAGAGAAGUAGCAAGCGCGAGAGAGCAAAGUGGGGGACAGGAACAGAAGUCCAGCGGCACCGGCAUGAAGUGCAGUGUAUCAGUAUAUGUAUGGUACUAUAUCAGUAUAUGUGUGGUAGUAUCAGGGGCCGCUCUAUGCUGCUUGUUAAGUCAGGCCCGCGAGAACCCCAUGCAGGAACCCUGUUACCCCUCGCGAAGGCCCCGUUACCCCUGGCUUAGGGUCGUUACCACGCCCAAGGGUCCCUGUCACAAUGUCACACAGUCGGCCUACAGCCCCCAGACUUCCUCGUUCGCGAGCGCAAAGACUACAGAAGUUUAAGGCUUCACAUAUUAGACUGUUUUAACACAAACUGUCACUACAUUACACACUUUGCAGACUAGAAUGUCGGCAUGUUCACUUGUCGGCGACAAAAGGCACUCCGCCCAGUCCGCAAUGUGCGUAUGCAUGACAAGUAGCUAAGAGGUGACCACAGCACCACUUGGCUUGCGUCCUGGGCGUGCCAGGCCGUGCGGGCCCGAAACAAUCGUUACCCCCUGUCCGGGGAUCGUCACCCCCGUUUUUUGAUCGUUACCACCAUUUGGGUGCCAUAGGGCUGUGCCGGAGCCGAAACGUGGGCUGGGGGCAACAGCAACCUCACCCUGCACGCUGUAACAGGGGCACAUGCGGUGCGGCGGAAUAUAUUGCUGUGCCGGAGCCGAAACAUGGGCUGGGGGCAACAGCAACCUCACCCUGCACGCUGUGACUGCGGCACAUGCGGUGCGGCGGAAUAUUUUGCUGUGCCGGAGCCGAAACAUGGGCUGGGGACAACAGCAACCUCACCCUGCAUGCUGUGACUGCGGCACAUGCGGUGCGGCGGAAUAUAUUGCUGUGCCGGAGCCGAAACGUGGGCUGGGGGCAACAGCAACCUCACCCUGCAUGCUGUGACAGCGGCACAUGCGGUGCGGCGGAAUAUUUUGCUGUGCUGGAGCCGAAACGUGGGCUGGGGGCAACAGCAACCUCACACUGCACGCUGUAACAGGGGCACAUCCCGUGGGGCAGAAUAUUUUGCUGUGCCGGAGCCGAAACGUGGGCUGGGGGCAACAGCAACCUCACACUGCACGCUGUAACAGGGGCACAUCCCGUGCGGCGGAAUAUUUUAUUUGCUGUGCCGGAGCCGAAACGUGGGCUGGGGGCAACAGCAACCUCACCCUGCACGCUGUAACAGGACAAGCUUGUUUGCACCAGAUGCCCAGUACCAGCCAUGUGUACCAAGCUGUGUGUUUGUGUGGAGUUUCUGUUUUGAGAUGGAUGCACGGCACGAAUGGGAGAUUGAGAGAUUGCUGACACUGCCUGCCACACCCCUGGCUUGACACGAACCGUGCAUAGGUCGGGGGCGGAGCCCCCGGAAACGUUUUGGGAUGAAAGAUGGAUGCUGCGGCAGCUGGUUUCUGAAAAUUAAAGAUGCCCUAUUUCGGAAAUCUGUCACUGGCACCGCACCUGCCUUCUUAAGAUACGAGCACUGGUGGUGAUAUGGUUAGUGCCGCCAGCCGCCAGCCGCCAGCCGCCAGCCCCCAGCCCCCAGCCCCCAGCCCCCAGCCCCCAGCCCCCAGCCCCCAGCCCCCAGCCCCCAGCCCCCAGCCCCCAGCCCCCAGCCCCCAGCCCCCAGCCCCCAGCCCCCAGCCCCCAGCCCCCAGCCCCCAGCCCCCAGCCCCCAGCCCCCAGCCCCCAGCCCCCAGCCCCCAGCCCCCAGCCCCCAGCCCCCAGCCCCCAGCCCCCAGCCCCCAGCCCCCAGCCCCCAGCCCCCAGCCCCCAGCCCCCAGCCCCCAGCCCCCAGCCCCCAGCCCCCAGCCCCCAGCCCCCAGCCCCCAGCCCCCAGCCCCCAGCCCCCAGCCCCCAGCCCCACCCCCACCUGCCCCGCCAUAGCCCCAGCGUGCCUGCGCCACCUGCUUUGAGGUGAAACCCCUCGCAGCAGCCUCAGGACAUCUAGCGGCAGGCCUGGGUGCCUGUGGGGGUGUGCUUCGACAUGGGUGCGCCCAGGUCGGGUGCGCCCAGGUCGCAUGGCAUGUGGUGAGACUGCUGUCAUGGCGUUGGCCCCCAGCCCCCGGCCCCACCCCCACCGCCACGGCGCCAGGGUGCCUGCGCCACCUGCCUUGACGGUUCAAGCCUAGGUUGCAGCCUCAGGACAUUCAGUGGCAUACCUGGGUGCCUGUGGCAGUGUGCCCUGACACGGCGGCACCCAGAUAGCAUCGCAGGUGGUGAUACGGUUUGUGCCUCCCGCCCCCCGCCCACACCCCCACCCGCCCCGCCA